GGCCGCUUCACUUACAGAAAUAUCAUUUAAUUAAUCCACAGAUGCGGCAAGGCUUCUAAAUGAAUCGAAUAAGCCUUGAAGUCGCAAUAGGAGCUUUGGGUGAAGCGCUUAAGGCCGAACAUCGAGAAAGAAUUCAGGUAAAAGGGAGGUGGAAACGUUGGGUAGCGUUUAAGAGUUGGCAAAAUACAUCCUGCAAACCUGCAGUCGGAUACGAGCAUCUACUUAUCCGACAUGAAACCUCCCUCUUUGCCAAGACUUUAUUGGUCCAACAAUUCAUUCCAUUAUUUUUUUUUCCCCCUAUUUUAUUGUUUUCGCGGGGAAAUCUGUCCAAAAAUCUCAGUUGUAGCCGCGUUCGAAGUCUUUUUUCUUUCUUCCUCCCCCCCAGUUAAUCUUUUAAUUAGUUUAUACAUUUCAGGUUAUUUGGGAUUAUGCUUAAAUCGCUGGAAAAGGUAUCAGCUGGAAAAUAAAUAAAUUGAAGAGUAAUAUUAAUAAGAAUUCUAUAGAAAGACGCAGCAGAAAUACAUCCUUCUCUGGGUGACCCUUAAAGAAAAUACCGCGUUUCUUCCUAUCCUAUUAAUUUGUUGGAAAACUUAAUUAAGCUCGGCUACCUUCCAUUAUUUAUGUAAACCCUCCGUCCGGGAGACUUUAAGAGGUUUCUUCUCCGGUUUCCGACAUUGUUAUUAGAAAUCCAUAAAGCAGGGGAGGGACAGGAAAUUAAAUUUAAAGGUACCUCAUUACGGCACAACUGCUUUCCUAUGGCAGCGGACGGAGACAACACAUGGCGGCAUAAAAGGCUGAGUCCCCCCAGCACGUAGACUUGGCAAUCCUCUCGAAAUGACCUUUUAAUUCCAAACCUAGCAAGCUUCCGUCCCCACAGCGGGCUCAGAGAGUCGGCGGAGAGGGGAGAAAAGAAACUGAAAUAGAAGAGAGGACAGCGAUGCGAAUGGAAGAGCCACGCAGAUGGAAAAGCGUGGGGCGGGUGGUUGUUAACAGUGGGUUUGGCUGGGUGGGCAUCAAGAGAGGUAAAGGUUAUUUGGGGGGGAUUUGUUCCAGAAAUAGCUUUGCUCCAAGCGGGAUUUCCCUGCGGUGUUUCUGCAGUCCCCGAUUCGUUUCCCGCUGGAUGGUGCGGAUUAAAGGGGUUUCAGCCCAACGCAGAAACAAAGAAACGACGCUAACCGUGAAGGAUCGGAACCGAGAAUGGACGAAACUCCCUACAGAUGGUGAGGAGAAGUGGAGGAGCCUCCACAGCAGAACGGACACCUCAAAAUCAUCAAUUGCGGUGGGUGCGAAGCUACAUCAUCCCGGAGCCGGCUGAGGACAUUGGUUAUGAAGCUGCGGGCCCGGAGGGGUGCGGGAUCCCCAGUGCCGGCUGCUGCCGACCCUUUUGCACCCCCAAAAGAGG